rnacentral:rRNA from 1 species
AUACGUAGGUGGCGAGCGUUAUCCGGAAUUAUUGGGCGUAAAGAGGGAGCAGGCGGCACUAAGGGUCUGUGGUGAAAGAUCGAAGCUUAACUUCGGUAAGCCAUGGAAACCGUAGAGCUAGAGUGUGUGAGAGGAUCGUGGAAUUCCAUGUGUAGCGGUGAAAUGCGUAGAUAUAUGGAGGAACACCAGUGGCGAAGGCGACGAUCUGGUGCAUAACUGACGCUCAGUCCCGAAAGCGUGGGGAGCAAAUAGGAUUAGAUACCCUAGUAGUCCACGCCGUAAACGAUGAGUACUAAGUGUUGGGAGUCAAAUCUCAGUGCUGCAGUUAACGCAAUAAGUACUCCGCCUGAGUAGUACGUUCGCAAGAAUGAAACUCGAAGGAAUUGACGGGGGCCCGCACAAGCGGUGGAGCAUGUGGUUUAAUUCGAAGCAACGCGAAGAACCUUACCAGGUCUUGACAUCGAUCUAAAGGCUCCAGAGAUGGAGAGAUAGCUAUAGAGAAGACAGGUGGUGCAUGGUUGUCGUCAGCUCGUGUCGUGAGAUGUUGGGUUAAGUCCCGCAACGAGCGCAACCCCUGUUGCCAGUUGCCAGCAUUAAGUUGGGGACUCUGGCGAGACUGCCGGUGACAAGCCGGAGGAAGGCGGGGAUGACGUCAAAUCAUCAUGCCCCUUAUGACCUGGGCUACACACGUGCUACAAUGGACAGAGCAGAGGGAAGCGAAGCCGCGAGGUGGAGCGAAACCCAUAAAACUGUUCUCAGUUCGGACUGCAGUCUGCAACUCGACUGCACGAAGAUGGAAUCGCUAGUAAUCGCGAAUCAGCAUGUCGCGGUGAAUACGUUCUCGGGCCUUGUACACACCGCCCGUCACACCAUGAGAGUCGGUAACACCCGAAGCCGGUGGCCUAACCGCAAGGAAGGAGCUGUCUAAGGUGGGACUGAUGAUUGGGGUG